rnacentral:rRNA from 1 species
GGAGCCAGCGGGGAUAGCUCAGUUCCCAAUGGAUCACUGAAGUUGAGCAACGUUGCACGUGGUUGGUAUCCGGAUGGGUGACCAUCUGGGCAAUCCUAGCUGCUGGCUUCU